GAUGAACGCUGGCGGCGUGCCUAAUACAUGCAAGUCGAGCGAAUGGAUUAAGAGCUUGCUCUUAUGAAGUUAGCGGCGGACGGGUGAGUAACACGUGGGUAACCUGCCCAUAAGACUGGGAUAACUCCGGGAAACCGGGGCUAAUACCGGAUAAUAUUUUGAACUGCAUGGUUCAAAAUUGAAAGGCGGCUUCGGCUGUCACUUAUGGAUGGACCCGCGUCGCAUUAGCUAGUUGGUGAGGUAACGGCUCACCAAGGCAACGAUGCGUAGCCGACCUGAGAGGGUGAUCGGCCACACUGGGACUGAGACACGGCCCAGACUCCUACGGGAGGCAGCAGUAGGGAAUCUUCCGCAAUGGACGAAGGUCUGACGGAGCAACGCUGCGUGAGUGAUGAAGGCUUUCGGGUCGUAAAACUCUGUUGUUAGGGAAGAACAAGUGCUAGUUGAAUAAGCUGGCACCUUGACGGUACCUAACCAGAAAGCCACGGCUAACUACGUGCCAGCCGCCGCGGUAA
rnacentral:rRNA from 1 species